CGAGUGCCAGCAUCAUAUGCUGGCUGUCCAGGUGUGUAAAAUACACCUGUUAGCAAGGGCCGGGCAAGACCGGUGCCAGCCGCCGCGGUAACACCGGCGGCCCGAGUGGUGAUCGUGAUUAUUGGGUCUAAAGGGUCCGUAGCCGGUUUGGUCAGUCCUCCGGGAAAUCUGACGGCUCAACCGUUAGGCUUUCGGGGGAUACUGCCAGGCUUGGAACCGGGAGAGGUAAGAGGUACUACAGGGGUAGGAGUGAAAUCUUGUAAUCCCUGUGGGACCACCUGUGGCGAAGGCGUCUUACCAGAACGGGUUCGACGGUGAGGGACGAAAGCUGGGGGCACGAACCGGAUUAGAUACCCGGGUAGUCCCAGCCGUAAACGAUGCUCGCUAGGUGUCAGGCAUGGCGCGACCGUGUCUGGUGCCGCAGGGAAGCCGUGAAGCGAGCCACCUGGGAAGUACGGCCGCAAGGUUGAAACUUAA
rnacentral:rRNA from 1 species